ACCAUUGGUUUCCCAUUUCAUAUCAAAUUUAUCAUAAAGACAAAUAAAUAUUUCCUGUGUAAAUAUGUUGGGUCUUAAAACAAAGUGUAAAUGCAAGCAGUCGUACAGUUAUGCACAGUUGAAUUGAAAAAGAUGGAGCUGUGGAAGAACAACUUGUUGCUAAGGCCAGUUGCAAAACUUGGCAAGCUUCCAGGUCCUUACAUCCUCACCUCGGCUCCCAAAACUCGAUACAUGGGCUUGCUGCUCAGUGCUACUUUGUUGUGUGCUUGUGAUGCUUUGCUCAGUAGUCUUGAAAUUUCUGCCCUUCUUUUCCGGCCUUGGAAGAGUAUCAUCCUUCCUGCAUCUCACUAGAGCCUCCAACAAUAACAGCAACGAAGCCAUCUCCAAGUACUUGAAAUUACUAGCUCUUCACAGAAACACGACUUGUAUAUAUAUACCCACAUGAAUUAAUUUAUAUAUUACAAAACAGUAAGUAGCUUGUUCAUGCCAAUUGUGAAGAUGAUUAAUAUAUAAAUUUGGCAUCAGAAACAGCAAAGACGUGAAAUCUCUCCAUGCAAUUCGUGCCAUUUAAGUUUUUUCGAGUGAGUAGUUGGUCAUCUAAUAUCCUUCCUUACUCACUGCGGUCAAGAAGCGGUGGGCAACCUCAAGAUUUUCAUUUCCUUGCUUCAUUGGUACAAGAAAUCUUUGUGCUUUUUUCCAG
rnacentral:lncRNA from 1 species